GAUGAAGAACGUAGCGAAAUGCGAUAAGUAAUGUGAAUUGCAGAAUUCAGUGAAUCAUCGAAUGUUUGAACGCACAUUGCGCCCAUUAGCAUUCUAGUGGGCAUGCCUGUUCGAGCGUCAUUUCAACCCUUAAGCCCUGUUGCUUAGCGUUGGGAGCCUACAGUACUGUAGCUCCCCAAAGUUAGUGGCGGAGUCGGUUUCACACUCUAGACGUAGUAAUUUUUUCUCGUCUGUAGUUGAGCCGGUCCCCUGCCGUAAAACACCCAAUUUAUCAAGGUUGACCUCGGAUCAGGUAGGAAUACCCGCUGAACUUAAGCAUAUCAAUAAGCGGAGGA
rnacentral:misc_RNA from 1 species